CCUACGGGAGGCAGCAGUGAGGAAUAUUGGUCAAUGGGCGAGAGCCUGAACCAGCGAAGUCGCGUGAGGGAGUAAUGCCCUAUGGGUUGUAAACCUCUUUUGUCGGGGAGCAAAAGCCGGACGUGUCCGGCUGUGAGGGUACCCGAAGAAAAAGCAUCGGCUAACUCCGUGCCAGCAGCCGGGGUAAUAGGGAGGAUGCGAGGGUUAUCAGGAUUUAUGGGGGUUAAGGGGGGGGAAGGCGGAGUUUUAAGUCAGAGGGAAAAACGUGGGGCUCAACCCCAGACAGCCGUUGAAACUGGGGAUCUAGAGUGUGCGAGAGGUAUGCGGAAUGCGUGGUGUAGCGGUGAAAUGCAUAGAUAUCACGCAGAACCCCGAUUGCGAAGGCAGCAUACCGGUGCACAACUGACGCUCAGGCACGAAAGUGUGGGUAUCAAACAGGAUUAGAUACCCGAGUAGUC
rnacentral:rRNA from 1 species